AGUCAUCUGGCAGCAGCUCGAGAAGCAUGUCCUCCACGCCGUCAAUCUGAGAGGCAGAGAGAGAGAGAAGGCAUUGAUCGGCCAGAGCCCUCCACUCCCUCCAUUCCUCACUCCUGCGCCUUCGCCUAGCUGGAAACAGCAGGUAGGAACCCAGGUGUGAGGAUUUCAGGGGCUCUCGGAGACUGCCCCUCCUCCCACCAGCCUUCAGCCUGUGACUGCCCACCAGAGAUGUCUUCCUGCGGCCAGCUGGAGGCUGGGAGGAAAUGGAGGCUGGAAUGCAAUGGCGCGAUCUUGGCUCACUGCAACCUCAACCUCCUGGGUUCAAGCGAUUCUCCUGCCUCUGCCUCCUGAGUAGCGAGAUUACAGACAAAGAAUUCAAGACUAAGCUGGGCAUGGUGGCACACACCUGUAGUCUCAGCUACUUGGGAGGCUGGGCAGGAGAAUCGCAUGAACCUGGGAGGCGGAGGUUGCAGUGAGCUGAGAUCACGCCACUGCACUCCAGCCUGGCCACAGAGCGAGACUCUGUCUCAAAAAAAAAAAAAUAAUAAUAAUAAUUCAAGACUAAGAAGAGUGAAGUAUGAAGUAAUUCACCCACAGACACCCAGCUAGUGAGUGGCAGACCUGGAAGACAAACUAGUUCUGUCUGGCAUCAGAAUCUAUGCUGUCAGCCACCUCACCACAUUCAUG
rnacentral:antisense_RNA from 1 species